AGUCGUAAUAGAUUUCCGUAGGUGAACCUGCGAAAGGAUCAUUAACACGUCCACGUACAAACCCCUCUGAGAAACCUCAUUCGGUCUGGUCUUAGUGUGUUGCUCGCAUGGGUCGAGUUGUUCUUUAGUUUCGUAAUAUCUUGCGUCACAUCUUGUAAAAGAGAGCAUCGAAAAAGUUGGUUCAGUACAAAGAGUACAAAGGGGUUAAAAAUGGGGAAAGUAACGGUUGAUCGUCAAACACAGCCCUUGGUUCUUGCGAACCACCAUCUUAGCAACGGAUAUCUUGUUCGC
rnacentral:misc_RNA from 1 species